rnacentral:rRNA from 1 species
UACGUAGGUGGCAAGCGUUAUCCGGAAUUAUUGGGCGUAAAGCGCGCGCAGGUGGUUCCUUAAGUCUGAUGUGAAAGCCCCCGGCUCAACCGGGGAGGGUCAUUGGAAACUGGGGAACUUGAGUGUAGAAGAGGAAAGUGGAAUUCCACGUGUAGCGGUGAAAUGCGUAGAGAUGUGGAGGAACACCAGUGGCGAAGGCGACUUUCUGGUCUAUAACUGACACUCAACUACGAAAGCGUGGGGAGCAAACAGG